rnacentral:misc_RNA from 1 species
CGAAAAAAAAAAGGUACGCGUCCGCGAGUGUGCAGCCCGUUUGUGUGUUUCUGUGUGUGUAUCUCAGCUCGAGGUGUGUGCAAGAAGAAAAGGGACGACGAGUUCGCCAAAGAGGACAAAGAAACCGACAGUAUCCCUCCCAUCGUCCCCUUGCACCGUUACGCACGCAACGGCUCCUUCUCACCCACCCCGAAAGUCGAACGCAAGCAGGAGAAAAAAAACAAAAACGAGCAAACACGCACCACCAAAGAGCCCAUGCCCGUUUACGAUAUCGCCGCACGGAAGCGAAAGAAUCUGCUGCGCCGCCGGGAGGAGGAGGCCGCGCACGCAGAGGACGACAAGGAUCACUCCCCGGAUGAAGACGAGGAAGACGGCGAGGACUUCGAGGAUGAUGAAUAUGUGGACUCGGAUGAAGAGGUAGAAGAGAUGGAGGAGGCGCCCCCGAAGGCGCCAGCGGCUUCGAAGAAGGGAGCAGCCGACGCUGCAUCCAAGUCGGCUGCCACUGCUGCUUGUGCCACCCGCGUGGAGUUUAGUGAGCCGGCGCAGUGGGUGGAGCGGAUGGCCCUCACGUCAACCCGCUCCCUCCCGAGCGACCUCAACGCCGAUGACGACCCAAAGCGCGAGGAGGCGUUUAUUCAGCAAACGCUGCUAUCCGUGACACGUGGCAUCUCGCUUCUGGAGGAGGCUAAUGUGCCCUGGAAGCGACCGGAUGACUACUAUGCCGAAAUGUACAAGAGUGACGUUCACAUGAAUGAUGUGCGGCAGGCGAUGGAGGCCUCGAAGGCGCGCAUCGAGGCACAGGCGCACCGCCGCUCCAUGAAGGAGCAGAAGAAGUACGGCAAGGAGGUGCAGGCAGAAGUGCUGCGACAGCGUGCCAAGCACAAGCGCGACAUGCAGGAGAGCUUGAGCGACUGGCGCAAGAAGCGACGUGGUAAUGGCUCGCUGCAAGACAUGUUGAACGACGACGAUGACGUCGAUAGGGACGCAAAGCGCUCCAAGGCGCAGCGCACGCCUCGGGCGCGCAAUCUGCGCCCGGGCGGCAACAAGCGACCUGGCAAGAACGCGCGCCGUCGUCGCUGAUUUGCUGGUGUCUGUGUACAUACCCGUUACAGGGGUGGCUAUGGAACAUAUGGAGCUGUGCUUGGAGCCGUGUGUCUGCACAUGCGUGCCUUUUUUAUGUUCCUAAUGAUUUUCUGAUCGGUUAAUAAGGUGAGCCCACCAGUGCAUCUGUGUGCGAGCAAUGUCUACCUCUCUUUUCUCUUCCACUGGGCCUUCAUCAUGCCGCUAUUCCUUCGCGCGGAACAACGUGAGUUUGGAGUGUAGCGCCAGCGGAGGAGGAGAAUGCGUCGGGCUAAGAGCAGGGUUCGUGGUGGCAUCACACACGCGCAUAAACACAAACAGCUGUACAGGCGCCCAGCCAGUGUCUAAGGAUGAGGAACACAAAACGCAAAAAUAAACGCCUAAAACGUUCACAUGCGUACAGCGUCUCAUCGUGAAGUGGAACAUGUGUGUGCAUCGGCCUCCAGAC